UACGUAGGGGGCAAGCGUUGUCCGGAUUUAUUGGGCGUAAAGAGCGUGUAGGCGGCCAGGUAGGUCCGUUGUGAAAACUCGAGGCUCAACCUCGAGACGUCGGCGGAAACCCUCUGGCUAGAGUCCGGAAGAGGAGAGUGGAAUUCCUGGGUGUAGCGGUGAAAUGCGCAGAUAUCAGGAAGAACACCCGUGGCGAAGGCGGCUCUCUGGGACGGUACUGACGCUGAGACGCGAAAGCGUGGGGAGCAAACAGG
rnacentral:rRNA from 1 species